GUGGCUAUACCACAUUGAAAAAACACCAGUUAUUAUGUGAUCACUAAAGUUAAGCAAUGUCAGGCCAGGUCAGUACUUGGGAGGGUGACCACUUGAGAACAUCAGGGGAUACUGGCUCU